CAGGACCCAUUCCACUAUAAACAACUCCAAUGUUAGGUGUUAGUAUCUGAAUCUUUUGAACCGAUGUUUCAUCAACUAAAAUAGAUGGUAGCUUCUUCUCUGUUGCAAUGACAACACCAUUAGCAGCUUUGAUUCCUAAAGAUGUUUGGCCCGAUCCAACUGCUGUUAGGGCAUGUUCAAUCUGAACAAGCUUCCCAGAAGGACUGAAAGUGGUAAGAGAAAAUGAGUACUG
rnacentral:misc_RNA from 1 species